CUUUAUCUUUUUUUUUUUUUUAAAGCAAACUCACUGGCCUACUUUCAGAUGUUUUAUCCAGUAGUGAACAUUAUGUUUUGAAAUGAUAAUAUCUGCUGUCCUGAUUUUCCCCAAGGCAUUAAUCUUGACAAUUAGAAUGGAGAUUGAGAUUAAAGCAAUCAGAACUCCACUAAAGAAAGUACCUCUCCUGAAUGGGAUUCAGUUAAUGAAAUAUUUUCUUUGGUUUGAAGUUUCCUAUAAGGAGAAGUUUUCCCAGGAUUCCACUGAAUAGGGUGUGGCUGGCCUUCCGAACGUGACUAGAUUUUGCUUAUAGAAUGUCAGCAGCCUUACCUGCUGAAGGUUUGAUUUACUGAGGAAGCUUUCCCGACAGCAGCCAGCGGAGUGGCACACACUGGGCCUGCUUGGACCAGUUCUUGCAUAGCUGCUUCCCAGGGUAAGAACACCGUGUUUCAGGUAAUUAUUCUGAUGGCUUGCUGAUGUGUAUGCUCAUUUAAACUGCCUUUGGGAAGGCUGGGAAGGGAUGGACAAGUGUGGUCUGAUUAAGAGAGCAAGAAGAAAAAGGGGAAGGAAUUGGAAAAAGACAGGUAUUUUACCAUUAAAACAGUUAUGUACAUGCAUUUUCAGUGGUUACAUUUCGGAAGCUGGGCUCAGACUGAUAAGAAAAUUCAAAGGUCAGAAGGCACUGCUUUGCUUCAGCAAAUAUACACAGACAUUGGCUAAUGUGGUAAAAGAUAAUGUGCGUGUGUGUCUGAAUUAGAAUCUACUCUGGCGGGCUGGUCACAACCAGGUCCUCCCCCACCACACCCGUUAAACUAGCAGUGUUUACCGCACCUAUGAUGGUGAGGCAGGCGCCCCCUGAGACCCGGAACUGCAGCAUACCAUCAGGAACUGUGACGGUGAAUUGUGAUUGUCAACUUCAUUGGAUUGAGAAGCGUCUAGGGGAUUAGGAAAGCACACUCCUGGGGAAUCACUAGGCUCUUGGAUCCUGAUUCUGCCUGUUACCGACUGAAGGACGCUCCUGGGUACCAUAGCCAGGGAAUAGGCUUGCUGGAAAUCAUGGCUGAAUGACAUGUGGGAGCUUGAGCAUGGUCUGAGAAAUCCUUGGAUCUUAUGAAGACUCACUACUACUGGAAAUCCCCUUCCUUUCUGUCUAAUGAUUCAGUCAAAGGGACAAAGUGUUCCUGCUUCAGUUCCCUUCCCUUCUGAUUCUUCUUUGAUUAUUCAUAUCCCUAUAGUUCUGUCCAUGUACAAAAUCCAUUUCACCAUUUGAGAAAAUGUGUUCUUGCGUGGGCUCCAGGACCGUGAGUGCCAUUGAAGUAGUAUCAGUCUGUCUAUCACAAGAGACAUUUUGCACAGAGACAAUAACUGGAUAUAUCAUUUCGUAUACCCAAGGGGAACAUGGGUAAGAAGAGACAGCAUCAAAGAGCAAAACCUUCGAACUUGACUUUCGUUUGCUACCUUUCCUAUGCCCUCUUUCUCUUUCUUUUUCCAACGUCUGCUUCAGUAUUACUGUGUUACCCCUUCCCUGUUCUUAGGCUCCUUAUCAACUAAGGCUUCAUUGACAUGGCAUUUAUCAAGGUAAGAGGAGACUACUUCAUUUCCUCUGUUUUCUUGCCUGCAGCCUUGUAAUGCACAAACAUUUCUUGAAAAGAAGAGGAAACCUUGAUUGGUUAGAAGAGUGGUAAGCUGUGUCUACUUCAGUGAACUACCCUCAGAAGCAUUUUAGUUGUGCUGCUGUUAAGUGAGUAGCAUCCUUUCUCUCUGUUUCAGUAAUGGGGAAAUAAUUCUAUUUUCAAUACUAGAACUGAACUGCGGUGUUAUUGAUGAAUUCUUAAUUGAUUUGAAAUAUGAGAAAGCUCAUGCCCUGUUCUGAAACAAUUGCCUUAGACCCUUGAGGACUCUGUGUGAAUUGAACUACGAAAAUGCUUACUGAAUGCUGAGUUUCUUUUGGGUCUCUGCUCAGUGCUUGACCUGAGCAGUGAUUUUCUGUGGGCCAGAGCACCACUUAACCCAUGGAAGUAGUGCUUGUGGGCUUUAGGGUCCACACCCCUUCACUUGAUCACCUGAUAUACUGUCUAGGGUUUCCUCUGCCGUGCUAGGCACUGUGUUAGACCCCAGAGAUAGAAUAUCGAAGAGAUCAGAAUUCUUAUUAAGUAAGAUGAUCAUAGUCAGUUGUUAGGGCGAGGAGCUGAAGAAAGGUGUUGGCUCUGAAUGUGAAAUGCUCUCCAAAGUCUCAUGUGCUUCGGUCCUUGGUCCCUACAUGGGUGGUGCUGUUUGGGCAGGCUUUUGAACCUUUAGGAGGUGCAAACGUGUUUACAGGAGGGAGACUGUGGGAGCUGGCCUUGACUUUUUAUAGCCUGGCCCCUCCCACUCAUUCUGUGCUUUCUCACAGCUGAUGCAAGGUGACUAGAGGCCUUCUGCUCCUGCUGGCCAUGCCUUCAUUAUGAGGACACAAUACAUCCCUAUGAACUGUAAGAAAAAGCAAAGCCUUCAAUUGCUCUCUUUGGGUAUUGCAGAAACAGGAAAAAUAACUAAUACAACAAGCAACUGUAUCCACAAUGUAAAGGGCUGUGAUGGGGUAGAAUGCCUGGAGGGCAAUGAACAAACAAAAGAGGUACUCAGAACUGGUCCAGGCAGAGGAGCCCAGCAAAGGUUUGCUACUGACAAUAAUAUAUAGCUGAGUCCUGAAAGACCUACAAGAACAUUUUGGACACGCAUAUAUAUUUAUGAUGGCCCGACUAAGAUUUGUGUGUUCUACAUAAAUAAAAAAGGGAUAUAUGUGUGUGUGUGUGUGUGUGUGUGUGUGUGUGUGUGUGUGUAGAAAUCAUACCUUGAAGUCUGGGAUAUAUGGCUCAGUGAUAGAGUACUUACCUCCAUCUAUGAGCCUUUUGUUUGAUCUUUGAUCACACACACACACACCGGAGCCCUACUUUGAAUUUCGGUCUUUUCUAGGGCUGGCUGCUGACCUUGCUGAGGUGCAGCGGUCUAGAACUCCUCUCCAUCUUGGCCACAGGAACAUAGCCCUGGGUUGCUAACUUGUGAUAUCCACCAGUUGAAUGUGUUAAAUCCAUUUAUAUUUAGGAAAAUUCCCACUUUGGAUGUGACAUCAUAGCAGGUCAAGAAGUAUCUGUGUAGAGAUGGGGAAAGGAGUCUGAUCUUUUUGGGGAGGUGUGCUGUCAGGGUCAAGCAGUGAUGUAAGAGAGAGCAGGGUUGAAAUCCUCUGGGAUCGUCUCAGGAUCUGAGUUCUUUCAGCAGAGAAACAAGCUCACAAACAUCCCAGGAUAUCACCAAGGCAUUGAACUGGGUUUUAAAAUGUUUUCUAGGAAUGAGAGGGGAAAGUUCAUUCUCCCAUUAGUUAGGCAGAGGUUAAACCAUCCUCCUUAAAAAAAAAAAAACAAACUAAAAUUCAAAAUAAUAAACAUGGUGUACAGCCUGCAAAUGUUCUAGAUAUCUUAGCUUGAAUCAAGGUGAGAAGACACAUCAGCAGCAUGAAUGUAACGUGGGUGAUUAAUGAGUAACGAUGAUUUUAACUUACCAGUUGCAAUUCAAAUAGUACUCGUAUCUCUCCACUUCACAUUAUUUUUAAUGCUCACUGUAUUUCUCCCUUUCUUUGAUUUUUCAAGGCAUUUUGGCAAAUUACACGAGCUGGCCCUAAAAUUACAACAUGUCUUUUCUCUGAUUUCUUUAAUGAGUUUUCGUAGGAGGUUUUCUUCCAGAGAGCCAGUGUGUUAGGCGGGAGUCUCUCUUUCUGGUGCUUGUAGCACUUGGGGUCAGCAGGCAUGUCAGAGAGGUGGUGGGAGAUUACUAAAACAAGGAAAGUUUAAUGACACGGGCUGAUGAAUGCAUCCUGCAAGUGAAAACAAUUUGUUAUUGUUGCUCAUUCUCACCUUUGGUCAUUUUUCCUGUUACAGAUACAUCAUGGACACAGAGGUGCAGGGUGCAUGUAUUUGAGAAGUGUCAUAAUUUGCAGUAAUAACUUACUAUCAUUUGUUAAGUCAGUAUCUCAAACACAUAGAAAAUUGAGAGAAAGAGAUGGGCAUAGUGAAUCUUGAAGUCUCAGUGAUGGAGUUAAGAGGUCUUUUAUGUCAGAGAGACAUUGUUUUAAAUUCAGGCCCCAUUAGACAUUAGACUUCCCUGGAAAAUCAUCACUAACUCUGGGCCUCAGUUUAUUGAUCUGUAAAGUAGGUGUAUGGGCAAUACUUUCCCGUAAGGGCAUUUCAAGGAAUUAAGUGAAGUAAUCCACUGGAGAUAAAUCUGUCUGAAACAAUGCUCCUUGAGAGAUCUGCAUUAAGGUAUCAUUAGCCAAGUUUUCUGUUCCAGGUUAGUUUGUGUUGCAAGACUGAAAGGCCCUUUGACAGGAAAACAAAACAAAACAAAACAAAACAAAGAGCAAGAAAUAAUAUCAUUGCUUUAGUUCUGUGGGGUCAUGUCCACACUGUGUGCGCUCAGGAGAUAGCAGUGAGGGUACAGCCCCAGAGGCUGUUCCCAGUGUGAGCUUGAAGGAAAGGAGCUGCCUGUGGGCCAGUAGGGACUGUGAGGAGCCAGGGAGAGCAGGUGUCAGUGCUUUCAGGCUGGCUUGGGGUCAGGCACAAGCUGUUGCAUAAUUAUAGAGACCACAGCCUAUCAGCCCACCUAGCCAAGGGAGAGCCACGCUGCAGGGAGACCAUUAUGAAUGCCAGACCCCAAAGAAUUUUCUAAGCUGUUGCCUUUUGAAUAUGAUUGUAUCUUAAUAAGCUAAUUAAGUCUAAACGUGUGAAAGGGAGUCAGAAUUGUGCACUUAUCUUUGACUCCUGUCUUAUUUCUUCACACAAGCGCAGGGCUUUCCAUUUCUCUCUCUGGAGAUGCUUUUCCCAGCUAGCACACUUCAGAAUAGAUUGCUGCAGCUACCUCCAUUAACACGCCAUUCCUUCCCUUGCAGGUGCGGCCUGAUCUAUAAACCUCUGAAUUAAUGAAGAUUCGCUCCCAGUCACAGGGGCCACUUGCUAAUACCCCCCCCCCCAACACACCCUGCUUUUGCUCUGAGGACAGCAUGCUCAAUGCUGUGCUUUGCAAUGCCUUCCUGCCUUUAAGAGCGUACUUGACUAGGAGAGAGGAAAUAUGAUCGUGGCUCCAUGUGGCAAUGUGCUAUGUGACCCAGAUCUAAAGGACUCUAUCUAGCCUUCCCUGAAUAAAGGCUUCGUGGUGCGCCAUUGCGGGAAAUACUUCAGGGCUUUAUAAGCCUAAUUAGAAAUUCAUUAAGGUGAUCAUAAACUACCCCCAGCACAGGUCAGCUUGUUACCUUUUCCCUCACAGCUUGGAGUUUGACCCAUGGGUUUCUCGCUUAAUGUGGCAGCUGCUUAGAUCCUCCGUGAAGGAGAGGCGUGAAAUGCUCUCAGUCAAGGCGCUGCCCUCCUCACUGUUUGAAGUGCACCUGGAAGCUAUAGGGGUGGCAGGGGACAGAAAACUCAACCACUGCAGACACUGCCGUCUAAAGUGACACGGGAGGCCCUCUGCAGGAGCACGGGGAAACGCUGCCUCUGCAGCGAGGGUGCUUGGUCCUCAUAAAGUCAGAGCUCAUUUACAAAGGCAGCGUGCCGCUUCUUCCUCCUGAUCUACAGUUUUAAGAUUCACCUAGAAUUUAAGUCAAGCAACAGACCCAAAUCCAACGUUUAAAAUGUCACACCUGAACUUACCAGUCUAUGGGAAUGGAACACUUGGAGAGCUCCCCGGGAGGUGAGCGCCAUGCUCACAGCGUGAGUCCGGUGCCACGGAGACAAUCUGCUGUUCUGGCUUUGACAGUUCACAACAGCUUGUAAAUACACUAAUAUGUGAGCGAACACAGCAGCGGGGAGACUAGCUACAAGCGUUAGUGAUGAUGUUGCCUAAGUGGGAGCUGAGAGGUUGGCUGACGAUUGGGACGAUGCUCGGCUUUUUUUUUUUUUUUAACUAAAAUGCUCUUUCAAAUCACCAAACUGUUUUGUUUGAAAAUACACCUACAAAUGGUGAUGGAGUCCUUCAUUAGUGUGUUUGGAUCGUUUUGAGCUUCAGUUUGUUCAGCAUUUUAUUGCCAAGAUGUACCCAUCUUGUUUUGCUUGAUUUGACCUGGUGGUUUUUGCUGCUGCCAGCAAUUAUCUAUGUGUAAGUUUUUGGAAAAGUCAAAUGUUGUUGAGUAAAUAACUGAAAUUCUUCAAAGAAGUUUGCUUUCCUUUUUCAAAGAUUUAUUUAUUUUUAUUUUAAGUGUAUCAGCUUGCUUGUAUGUGUCUGUGAGCACCCUGUAAUGCAGUCCCACGGGCAGCCAGCAGAGGGCAUCGGCUCUCCCGGAGCCAGUUGCGCGCAACAGCGAUGCUGGGAUUGAAAUUGCAGUCUUCUGUAGGAGCAGCCCAUGCUCUUUUCCUUAACUGAUAAACCAUCGCUCCACCCCCUCGGGGCCCUUAAAAUCAUCCCUUUUACUGUUCAUAUUUGAUGGCUUCAGUUACAGUUCUAACUGUGCUUAAUUUCUAUCUCUAUCCAUCUGGAAAAUAUCAUGACCUGAGACCAAGAGUCUUAUUGAAAAAGUUGUUCCUACUUAUUUGUGUGGAUAUGGGUGCACUGAGGUGUCUGUACAGAGGUCAGAGGACAACUCUGGGGAGUCAGUUCUCUCCUUCCACCUCGAGGAUCCUGGGGAUCAAACACAGUUUUUCAGGUUCAGGGGCAAGUGUCUUUACCCACCGAACCAUCUCGCUAGGCUGCCAGGAGUUCUUAAACUAUUCUAAAGACUCCACCCUCUUUUGCUGUGCCUCAGCUGCUGUUGGUCUUACACGGCGGAGGCAUCUUUGAAGCACGCUCACUGAUGUUCUCUAGUGCGGUCGGAUACUACGUAUGCAUUUUUGUCAUGCAUUGCCCAGAAACAAGGCACUUCCUGUUAAGAGGUGUUCAGACAGUGUAAUUUGCCCCAUUGUUGGCUGCAGAAAUCUGACCACUGCAGAGGCUCUCCAUGGUGGUAAGUGUUGGGCAGGAGAGGAAACAGUUGGAUGUGAUGUAAAUCUUUCCCUCCUGACUCUAGAAUCCCCUGGGAUUCCUACCUGAGACCAUCAUUAGGGCGAAGUUUGCUACAUGGCAAGUCGCUGUUUCUCUCAUAGAAUCAGUCUUCUAAUCAUUCAAAGCCCAAGUGUACAAGUGCGUACCAACUACAUAUAAGACGCCAUGGGAAGCACUAACUGUACUUUCAGGAAAAACGGAGCAAGAUUGGUAUGAUGGAGAAGGGAGGAAGAUUCCAGUCUGACGAAUUUUAUUGUCCCUUGGCUGUUUUAUAACUCACCAAGUUACAUAAAACUGAUAAUAAUGCAAAUAAUUUCUGUUCACGGAAAUGUGCCUGGUCAAAUGCUAUCGAUUAUAUCUGUGGCUUCUCAACUUCCCUUUAAGCAUGUUGCAAAGCUUCCUGGUCCUCCCUUCCAUCAUUGAGCUGAGUAAAAUCGCUGACAGGUCUUCAUUUCAUACUUGUAAAAAGGUAAUGAUUUAAGAGGAUGUUUAAUCCUCCUAAAUAAUUGGAUGAUUUAAAAGUCUGACUUACAGUCGUUGCUAAAUUAUUUGAUUUUAAGUCAGGGAGAUGAGCCAUGACACAAGUUGGCAUGCACAUCAGAGCUGAGCCAAUGAAGAUGAUAUUAGUGUAUUUCCUUUUUAUUCUAAAUUUCGGGUAAGUGUGUGUGGUGUGCCCAGAGAGGCCACGCGCUUCAGAUUGCUCUGAAAUUGGAGUGACAUGCUGCUGUGAACUGAACUCAGGACUUCUCCAGGAGCAGGGAGCCCCUUUCCCGGCCGGGCCAUCUCUCUUGCCCUCAUUAGAGUUUUCAGUUGGGACUUACGUUAGUCAAUGACUAUCUUACUUAACAGGGCGUUAUCUACUGAGAAGGAGCUUCUCUGACCAAGGCUGGGGAAGUGACAGUCUAUAUGCUCAGGCAAAGGAGGCCGGCUAACUACAUGUCCACCUAGCAGCAUGACAGUAUAGGCUCUUCCCUAAGGCCUGUGAUCUACCUAGACGUAAGAUUUUGAGGAGGUCAAACCACAGCCUCUAAAGUAUGUGUGCUAUGCAUUCAGAAGUGAAGUCCAAUAGUGUAACACCAGUGAGCAUGACCAGAAACAGCUUCUCAAGUAGCCCAGGCUAUUUGAGUUCACUGUGGGAACUCCUGACCCUCUGCCUUCCAUCUACCAAGUGCUGGAAUUACAGGUAUGUAGCACCGUGCCCAGUUUAUGUGGUUUUGGGGUUGAACCCAAGGCUUCUGUGGUGGUUUGAGUAGGAAUGGUCCCCAUAGACUCGUAUAUUUGAAUGCUUGGCUCAUAGGCAAUGCCACUAUUAGGCCUUGUUGGAGUAAGUGUGGCCCUAUUGGAGGAAGCAUGUCACUGUGAAGGCAGGCUUUGAGGUCUCAUAUAUGCUUAAUCUAUAGCUAGUGUCGAAAACCCAGUCCCCUUCUGCUGCCUAUGGAUCCAGAUGUAGAAUGAAAGUUCUCUAGCUCCGUCUCCAGCACCACAUCUGCCUGGACACUGUCACGCUUCCCACCUUGAUGACAAUGGACUAAAGCUCCGAAACUGUAAGCCAGCCGCAAUGACAUGUUUUCCUUGCUGUGGUCAUGGUGUUUCUUUCCAGCAACGGAACUCUAAGACAGCUUCGCACAUACCUUACACCUUGCCAAUCUUUUUUUUCACUACUCCCGCAUUCAGGUAUGCCAUUUGAGAUUGUGACCCGCCAUUUAAGAAGCUGGGCCCUAGAGCACCCGGCAGAUUGAGUCCACCUUGAUUUUUAGCUCUGAGAGAUGCGCCUCAUUUUUACCAUAGAACCAUGAAAUAGUAAAUUUCCAUUGCUCAAGCCACAGCGUUCAUGGUAGUUAUCUUUAUAGUAGUUUUAGAAGGCUAGAGCACACACAGAGCUCUUUAGAAGAUUUAUUUUCUUUAGGCAUGUUUGCGCAUCUGCACGUGUGAGCAUGCAUACACACGCAGGUGGGAGGCUGGCAGCAGGGCAUGGAAUCCCUUGGGGCUGGAUCUUUAGGCAGCUUUUAGUUAUCACACGAGUGAGCUAGGAAUUAAGCUCUGGUCCUCCAGGAAGGCAGCAAUCACUCCUAACCUCUGAGUCUUAGCUCCUUCCAUCCAGAUUUUUAAAUCUAUAAUAUAGCAUCAUAUAUAGUCACACAUACAAAACCUUUUGCAAAUGUAACUUACAGUGGAUGACUAAUUGUUUGACUAAUCACAUUUUUUUAAACUGGCAUUUUACAAUGCUUUUAUGCAAUGAUAACCAGUUAAUCUUUGGGUAUAAACCUGUUUGUAUGUUUCAUGUGAUAUCUUUUGGAUAGACUCAGAGAGAACUACUAUGUGAAAAGGGGUUUUUAGGGUAGAAGAAUUUAAUGUAUGGCAGAAGAGAGAUUAUAGAUUUGUAUUUCUGACCACAAGAAUGUAUUUUCAGAUUUUAUUAAACCCAUUCAAAAUGACUGAGGAAAAAAAAAUAUCUUCCUCUCUUUCUCCUACCACCUUAGGUUGCAUCAAAAAAAGAAGGCCACAAAUUCUGAAGAAGCAGGGGAGUCUGUAGAUCCAGGUAGAGAAAGCUGCAGAAUGAGCUCAUUAACCUCAAGAAGAAGUUACCUGGCUGAGGCUCAGAAUUUAGCAGAGCUUGUUAGAGAAAAACAAUCUCUUUCAAAUGAAGUUGGAGCAGUCUUAGAGAGUGACUCAUCCAUGAUGCUAACCAUGUUAAAAUGGGGCUUCAGAGAGUACACAGCACAGUCUUUAGCAUCUGAGGGCAUACUCUGAGCAUGAGCCCUGAUACUUCACUUGGUGUCAAGGGCUUGUUCAUUCCAUGUAAGGGAGAAAUUAAAAUAAAUGUCAGAACCAAACAUAUAACUUAAAUAUCUUACAAUGAAUUGAACUGAAUUGUAACCAACCUACAAAUCUUACUCUACCAUGCAGAUUUGGUGGUUCUAAAUCUUGCUUUUUUUUUUCUUUCUAUCUUUAUAAAGGGUUAUAACAACAAUCCUCUCUAGACUGUUUUCUAGAGAGAUGUCUGACAAAGCUGCCACAUGACAGUUGCAUGAGAACGCUUGUGCCCAGAAUGUGCAUACCAGACAGCAAUACCUCCAGCCUUUCUCUUCUUCAUAUCCAUAUUAAAUAUUGCCCACACCUGGGCAUACUGCGCAACUGUGUGAUGCCUUGAAUGUUGUAUUUCAGAGGCUAGGCCUUAGGGAAAGAAUAAAAUAGUGCAACUAGUUGAGAGAAAACAAAGAACGUGUGAAGUAUUUCAGUUAGCUCUCUCUAGGACUCCCUAGAUGGCUAGAAGGUGGGAAGUUUUAAAAUUCUAAGUCAAUCUUCAUGAGCUGAAGGACCCACGACUUUUAGGUACGUAGAAAAAAAAGGUGGAACUGGGGAAAAGAAAUGAACUCAAAGGUCCAAGCCUAGUGUUAAUUAUUGUAAUUUAAUUUUUUCAUUUAUUUAAAAGUUCUCAGUGACGAGUUGAUUAUCUCUUUAACUUAGUUUCCAGAUCAUUUAUUUAAACAUUACAGAAGGUAGAUCCAUCUGGGCAGGCUGCAAUGUUUCUUAGGGGACUUUGUGGACUGAGAGGUGGCAUCAUGGGAGACAUUCCCGUAGGAAUGAUGCUCACCAUUAAACAGCAAGACAGCUGAGUAGACAGUGUGUCAUUCCGGGCACAGCUCGUCUUUACUCUGCUGUGAACUGGAAUAAAAUUAGAAAAAGACAGCAUUACGUGUUGACCUAGAAACAUCGAAGAAAGGCUAUUAUUUCAUUAGGAUACAUUUUCUGCCUGGAGUAAGUUUUAUAUGCUACAAUAAGGAAGAUGGAACCCAUUACAGAUAUUUAUUUAAACUGUUGGGGAUAAUAAGGAAGAAUGCAGAGUAAAAUGGCAACAAUUGCUUAGGAGUUAGCCAGCAGUAGCUCUGUUUUAUUUUCCCUGGGUGAGGACAUUUGCUUAGAAUGGAAUGGAUUUCUAAAUAAUCACUUCCAUUCUAAAUGAGUUUACCUAGGAGGAAAAAGCUGUUAAGCAUCAGGACAGCACCUCCCCUUCCUUACCUGAGUGUUAAAUCAAAAUGUUUACCAAUCAAGACCCCAUUUCCAAAGGAGGCCUGUAAAUUAAUAACUCUACUUCUAGAACCUCAAUUUGAAAACAUAUGUCAAAUAUUUGCCUUGAAAACUUUAAAUCCUUAAAAUAGCAAUUGUUUGCAGAUAAGAUUUUGAGGUCCAGAAUGCUGUGUAAAGAAAUAUAUCAUCAGGCCACUUUGGAGAUGUAAAUCUGCAAAAAUAUAAUGUCUGAAUUUGUACUUGUCUCAACAUUCCGAGUGUGAAUAAAUUAGGUAUUCUAAAUCUUCAUCCUUGCUUUGCAUAUGUAAAUAUGGUAUUUUGUACUUGUGGAAUGUUUAGAUAAUUAGAGAGUUGGAUUGAGAAAAUCAAAUCUUUCAAAGGCAUAUUUGGCUGAGAAAGCAGCAAGACUCUUUUUUUUUUCUUUUCUUUCAUCUUUGUGGGUCUUUUGUGUUGUGAGAAAAGCAAAGUUCCCGUGGUCAGUUUAAAUUAUGUGGCUGCCAACCUCUCAGAGGGACAUGGCAGUUUGUAUGUGGAAAGUAAUGAGUCAGGGAAGAAAAUAAAUGGUGAUUAAGAAAGGAGAGUGAGAUUAAUGUGGAAAAGUGUCAAGUGGUGCGUAGGUGCCAAACAUUUCUUCUACUGGGAAGUCUCAGGGCAUUCCUGCUAUGAAGGAGGCUUAGGUAAAAGGUUGAUUUAUUCAACAAAUAUCUAUUGAGUUCCUAAUGGAUGGCAGGUGGUUUGUUAGGUUCUGGAGUGAGGAAAACAGAUGAAACGCCGGCCCAGUGGGGAGAACAGAGCAAAGCUCACCGAAGGUUCUGUAACCCAGGAAAGAGCAGCUGCCGUGUUGACCGUGGGGGGAGCCAGGUUCUGGGUUCUCCCCUGUUAACCAGAGAACUGUUUGCACAGUCCUUUGCAACAUCACCUGCCCACACCUCCAGGGCAGGGCUUAGGGCUGUAGUUGACACUCAGAGAGUUGUUCUUCUGUGGAUAUCCUGGCUGAUGAUCCGGGUCUGAUAUUUCUCUUGAGGAGAACACUCAUACUGUACAUUAAUGGAAUCACCCAGCUUCUCCCAGUUUCAAGACUGAAGGACACACUGGUGAUGGAAAAGUGUAGAGGGUGUCCUUCACAGGACAUCCAUGCUUGUGAAGGACACCAAUCAAGUGAAUAAUGAAAGAAACAAUGAUCUCACUGUAAAGUGUGAGCAUACAAGGCUCUGCACAGACUCAGGCUUCUCGUACUGGGCAGUGCUCUGUGGGAAGAGUGGCACUUGUUAGGGUGGAAGGGAAAGAAAUGUUGGAGUAAGAGGCUAGGUUAUGGGACUGCCUAGGGCUAGGGAGGAAAAAAGGCUGUUGAUGGCAAGAAUCCAGAAUAUUGGUCAAAAUGAUGAGUAUAGUCAGGAAAGGUACGGAGGCAUGACACCCUCUUGGUGCCAGCUGGGCUGGCGAGAGAAGGUGAGAUGGUGCUCUUCUUCCAGUGCAGAAAGAUGAUGGGGUGUUAGACUUAUUUGUUUUUAAUUUUCAGUGGGGUCAGUUGGACAGAUGUACCCGAUGGGAGUAGUUUGUUACAACAUUGCAGCCCAAACAAAGAAAGAUACUACCGUGAAAUGCCAGUUACUAUUUUCCAGUUCAUCACAUCUAGCAUUUUUACUAUUUCAUGGGCAUGAAGGAGGGAUUUAAGAACAAAAUUUCUUGCAGCACAGCACAGUGCCUGGUUAGAGUAUGAACCAAAAAUCUUUGCUGUUAGAUUAAGCGUAAUGUAGCUACAGUAUUUAUUACCCACCUAGUCUAAAAUCUAAUGAAAGCUUUUACAUAUGUAAUGGAAGUCCGAGGGCUGUGUCUUAGUUAGGUUAGUGCUGCUAUGCUGAAACACCACGGCCAAAACGCAAGUUGGAGAGGAAAGGGUUUAUUUGGUUUAUAUUUCCACAUCUUAGGCCAUAGUCUAUUUGGAAGGAAGUUAAGGCAGAAACUCAAACUGGGCAGUAACCUGAAGGCAGGCGCAGGUGCCAAGGCUGUAGGACAGUUCUGCCUACUGGCUUGUUCCUCAUGGUUUGUUCAGUCUGCUUUAUUAUAGAACCCAGGAUUACCCUCCCAGGGGUGGGCCCAGCCACAGUGGGCUGGCCCUUCCAGUCACCAAAUAAAAAAAUGCCUUACAGGCUUGCCUAAAGUCCUGUCCUAUGGAGACAUUUCUCAGCUGAGGCUCUCUUCUCAGUGACUCUAGCUUGUUUCAAAUUCACACAAAACCAGCCAGCACAGAUGGGGAAAUAGAAAAGGAUAUCAUAACUGAAUAAUUUACAUAUGUCUUCCAAAAGCCUAAUUACCUAAAUCUUGGAGAAUUUUUUUUUUUAAAUCACUGAAAUUAGGGACAAUUCAGUGGUGUCUUAUCAUGGAAAAACAUCAGAUUGCAUGAUUAUGAGAAUGUUGUCUAAGUUAUCUGUCUUCAAGAGAUGGGCCUGUCUGAGAAAAGACUUCAAACUCAUUGAAAGAGGUAGCUGGUCUUACAUGUUCCUGAGCGUUUCAUGCUCCAAGUUCCACUACUGAGACUUGUGUGCUGACAUAACCCAUUUCUCUCUUUGGUUGGACAAAACAUUUUUCUUCAUGUUGUUGGGUUUAAAGUGCCACUGGUUACCUUCCAGGAACGGAGUCCUCUAUCCUCAGUGUGAGUGUGUGUGUGUGGUAGCAUUAGCGGCAUCUCCUCCAAGACAAGUGCGCGUGGCCUGGCUGUUAGCAGCUGGUGUCCUACAGAGUGAUGAGCCCACAAGAGCUUCUUUCUCAUUAAUGAAUCAAAGUGCUCAUAAAAGAGGCUGUGCAUAGCACCUGAUUAGCUUGCUCUCUGUGCCUCCAGCUCAGAGAGGAGACAGUAUGUGUCCUUCCGAGAGAUUCAGCCUCACCAGAGAACUGUGGUGUAGCUUUGACCUUCGACUUUGAAGCAUGUAGAAACACUGAAUCUCUGGUGUUCCAUUGCAGGAGCUCGAAUGGAAUGGACUCAGACAAUGGGUGUGCUUUCCAUAAACUCUUCUGCCAGGGAAUGGCUAUGGGUCUAUGUCCCCUUUCACAAACGCCCACUUCUUUGUAAGAAAGUCAGACUCCUAUUCCCUCUUACUCACUUUCAUUUUAAGCUAUAAAGUGGUGGAAUCUCAGAGAAUCUUCCUGCUGUAAGACAGGGCAAAGAAAGCCUAGAUAGCAUUGCAGAAGCACAAUGAACUCAUUUUCAUGUCAGGUCAACAAUAAACUCAUGCCUUUCUUCUUCAGUCUAACAAUGAAUUUUGAUUUAUAGGUAAGAAUGUAUAUGAGGAUAUUUAUCAUCUUUAUUUAAAGUAAACAAAGGAGCCAGAGAUUCUUCAUGAGAAAACUCAAGGAUAACAGCCAUGUGACUAUUUCAGGAGAUACAGAAAGUUCUUUGACUACAUUUCAUAUCUUUUUAUGAGGAUAACUUGGAAGAAAUUACAUCAAGGUUGUUUUUCAAAGGUCAAGAAGUAAACUUGUUAUUUUGAGUUUUAAACAUAUUCUGGACUCAGCACCAAGAAAAAAAACCCAGCAUUUUGACUACAUAUUUAUUACUCGAAAAUCUAUUUUCUCACUAUAAAGUUAAUAUUUAUUGUAAAAGCUCUUGAAAAUGUCAAAAAAGCACAAGAAAAAUAAACUAGCAAUGUAUUAACAUUUA